rnacentral:tRNA from 1 species
AGGGGCGUAGCUCGAACGGCCAGAGCGCCGGUCUCCAAAACCGGAGGUUCCGGGUUCGAAUCCCGGCGCCCCUGCCA